GAUGCUGUCCAUAGCAUUUUAAUGCACCAUGUUAACCCAUUAAAGGCCCCCAAAGUCCAUCAAGGACCAAGGUUGAGAGCUACAAGUUUUCUCUUUUCCAACAACUCUUUUCCAAGGCAUCAGAAUUUGGUGAGGAGAAUAGUUCUAAAGGCUCCAUCAAUAGAGGUAAUCAAGAUUCCAUUCCUUUUUUUGCUUCUAUUUUUUAUUUUUUGUACAUUCAUGAUGUUAUAAGUUUGAUGAUUUAAUCUUUUACUU